GAUGAACGCUGGCGGCGUGCCUAACACAUGCAAGUCGAGCGAUCAUCUUCGGAAGAGAGCGGCGGACGGGUGAGUAACGCGUGGGUAACCUGCCUCAUACACAUGGAUAACAUACCGAAAGGUAUGCUAAUACAAGAUGAUAUAAGAGAUUCGCAUGGAUUUCUUAUCAAAGCUCCGGCGGUAUGAGAUGGACCCGCGUCUGAUUAGCUAGUUGGUAAGGUAACGGCUUACCAAGGCGACGAUCAGUAGCCGACCUGAGAGGGUGAUCGGCCACAUUGGAACUGAGACACGGUCCAACCUCCUACGGGAGGCAGCAGUGGGGAAUAUUGCACAAUGGGCGAAAGCCUGAUGCAGCAACGCCGCGUGAGCGAUGAAGGCCUUCGGGUCGUAAAGCUCUGUCCUCAAGGAAGAUAAUGACGGUACUUGAGGAGGAAGCCCCGGCUAACUACGUGCCAGCCGCCGCCGUAAUAC
rnacentral:rRNA from 1 species